CAGCCGCCGCGGGAACACGUAGGUGGCAAGCGUUGUCCGGAAUUAUUGGGCGUAAAGGGCUCGCAGGCGGUUUCUUAAGUCUGAUGUGAAAGCCCCCGGCUCAACCGGGGAGGGUCAUUGGAAACUGGGAAACUUGAGUGCAGAAGAGGAGAGUGGAAUUCCACGUGUAGCGGUGAAAUGCGUAGAGAUGUGGAGGAACACCAGUGGCGAAGGCGACUCUCUGGUCUGUAACUGACGCUGAGGAGCGAAAGCGUGGGGAGCGAACAGGAUUAGAUACCCCCGUAGUCCCUGUCUCUUAUAC
rnacentral:rRNA from 1 species